rnacentral:rRNA from 1 species
UACAGGGGGGGCAAGCGUUGUUCGGAAUUACUGGGCGUAAAGGGUUCGUAGGUGGCUACCUAAGUCAGACGUGAAAUCCCUCAGCUUAACUGGGGAACUGCGUCUGAUACUGGGUGGCUUGAGUGCAGGAGAGGAACGCGGAAUUCCAGGUGUAGCGGUGAAAUGCGUAGAUAUCUGGAGGAACACCGGUGGCGAAGGCGGCGUUCUGGACUGUAACUGACACUGAUGAACGAAAGCCAGGGGAGCAAACGGG